rnacentral:lncRNA from 1 species
AAGUGCUCUUGUUUCCCACAUAUCUCUAAAAAAGUUAAUGAAAUGAAAAGAAAAAGAAGCGAAAAGGAAAAAAAUAAUCAUCUAUGUGGGACAAAGGUCUUACUCUUAAGUUUUUUCCAUCUUUCCUUCAUUAUAUCAUGUUUUUACCAACAUUAAGCUCUCAAAACCUCCUGAGACCAACUCACGCCGCCACAACUCACACAAAACUCCAUAUGCUUGAGGAAAAAACCCAAUCGGAACCUAAGAAACCUCUAUAAUCUCUCUCAAGCGCUCUCCUCUCCCACAAAUCUUGGAA